UACGUAGGUGGCAAGCGUUAUCCGGAUUUAUUGGGCGUAAAGCGAGCGCAGGCGGUUUUCUAAGUCUGAUGUGAAAGCCUUCGGCUUAACCGGAGAAGUGCAUCGGAAACUGGAUAACUUGAGUGCAAGAGAGGACAGUGGAACUCCAUGUGUAGCGGUGGAAUGCGUAGAUAUAUGGAAGAACACCAGUGGCGAAGGCGGCUGUCUAGCUUGCAACUGACGCUGAGGCUCGAAAGCAUGGGUAGCGAACAGGAUUAGAUACCCUGGUAGUCCAUGCCGUAAACGAUGAGUGCUAGGUGUUGGAGGGUUUCCGCCCUUCAGUGCCGGAGCUAACGCAUUAAGCACUCCGCCUGGGGAGUACGACCGCAAGGUUGAA
rnacentral:rRNA from 1 species